UUGACCUCAAAUCAGGUAGGACUACCCGCUGAACUUAAGCAUAUCAAUAAGCGGAGGAAAAGAAACUAACAAGGAUUCCCCUAGUAACUGCGAGUGAAGCGGGAAAAGCUCAAAUUUAAAAUCUGGCGGUCUUGCGGCCGUUCGAGUUGUAAUCUGGAGAAGCGUCUAUCCGCGUCGGACCGUGUACAAGUCUUCUGGAAGGGAGCGUCAUAGAGGGUGAGAAUCCCGUCUUUGACACGGACUACCGAUGCUUUUGUGAUGCGCUCUCGAAGAGUCGAGUUGUUUGGGAAUGCAGCUCAAAAUGGGUGGUAAAUUCCAUCUAAAGCUAAAUAUUGGCGAGAGACCGAUAGCGAACAAGUACCGUGAGGGAAAGAUGAAAAGCACUUUGGAAAGAGAGUUAAACAGUACGUGAAAUUGUUGAAAGGGAAACGUUUGAAGUCAGUCGCGUCGGCCGAGACUCAGCCUUGCUUUCCGCUCGGUGCACUUCUCGGUUGACGGGUCAGCAUCAAUUUUGACCGCCGGAUAAAGGUCGGGGGAACGUGGCAUCUCUCGGGAUGUGUUAUAGCCCUCGAUUCGCAUACGGCGAUUGGGAUUGAGGAACUCAGCGCGCCUUUAUGGUCGGGGUAUCAACCCACGUAACGCGCUCAGGAUGCUGGCAUAAUGGCUUUAAGCGACCCGUCUUGAAACACGGACC
rnacentral:rRNA from 1 species